GGCUCUCCGAAAUCUGAUAUAGAGCUCAAAAUUUCUACGCAAAGCCCACCAUCUCCGCCACACUGAAAGUGCUUCUUCUUCUACUUCUAUAUUUCGCAGAGUCUCUUAUUUCAUAAAUGUAGACAGACAAACAAUUAAAUCCUAAAGAUGUCCCUGUCCUCCCGCUCCGCUCGCUUAACUCUACUCGCUGUCCUUUCAGCCUCAACCUUCUACUGCUUCUAUAAAUCUCGCCGUCUCAAACUACUCAAAGACUCCCUUAACCCUAGUUUGAACCGGAAUAGUAACUCUGUUUGUUCUUCUAAUAAAGGUAAGCUAUUCUUCAUAUCCCAAACAGGGACCUCUAAAAACCUAGCGCAGCGGCUUCACAAUCUCUUCAAGUUAAAUGAUCUCUCAUUUGAUCUCAUCGAUGCUAAAGACUACGAGCCUGAGGACCUUUCCAAGGAAACAUUAGUCAUUAUAGUUGCUUCUACCUGGGAAGAUGGAAAGCCGCCUUCAAACGCCAACUUCUUCUCGAAUUGGCUCGCCGAGAGCGCUGAUGAUUUUCGAGUUGGUUCAUUGUUGCUUACCAAUUGUAAAUUCGCUGUUUUUGGAGUUGGAAGCAGGGCAUAUGGCGACACUUUCAAUGCUGUCGCUAAAGAUUUUUCGAGGCGUUUGAGAGAAUUGGGCGCCAAUGAGAUUUUGACGGUUGGGGAGGGCGACGUAGAUGGUGGUGAACUUGAUGGAUUUUUUGAGGAAUGGAGUGAGAAAGUGGUAGGUAUUUUGAAGGGAGGUAGAGUGGAGAAUGGAGAGGUUUUUAUUAAUGGGUGUAUUGGUAGUGAGAGCGACAACGAGAACAUUGUCGAUGAGUUUGGAAGUGAUGAUGACGAGAAUGUUGGUGUGGAGUCGGGGAUUGUUGAUCUUGAGGAUAUUGCAGGUAAAGGGCCUACAAGGAAGUUCAAUGCAGUGGUUGAAACUAACGGGAAAUUGAAUGGUCAAAAAGAAAUGGUCACUCCAGUGAUCAGGGCCAACUUAGAAAAGCAGGGAUAUAAGAUUAUUGGUUCACAUAGCGGCGUUAAAAUUUGUAGAUGGACAAAAUCGCAGCUUAGAGGACGAGGAGGAUGCUACAAGCACUCGUUUUAUGGAAUAGAGAGUCAUAGGUGUAUGGAGGCAACUCCUAGUUUGGCUUGUGCCAACAAAUGUGUUUUUUGUUGGAGGCAUCACACUAAUCCUGUUGGAAAGAACUGGCAGUGGAAGAUGGAUGAUCCUCUAGAAAUUGUCAAUUCUGCCAUAGAUCAGCAUACGAAGAUGAUUAAACAAAUGAAAGGCGUUCCUGGUGUUACACUGGAGCGACUGACUGAGGGGCUCCAUCCAAGACAUUGUGCUCUAUCACUUGUUGGUGAACCAAUUAUGUAUCCAGAGAUCAAUACACUUGUAGAUGAGCUGCAUCGAAGGCGGAUAUCUACUUUUCUAGUGACAAAUGCCCAGUUCCCAGAGAAGAUCACAAUGCUAAAGCCUGUAACCCAGUUAUAUGUCAGUGUAGAUGCUGCCACAAAGGAGAGCUUGAAGUCAAUUGACAGGCCAUUAUUUGGAGACUUUUGGGAGCGCUUUAUUGAUUCAUUGAAAGCUCUCAAGGAGAAACAGCAGCGGACAGUUUAUCGCUUGACUCUGGUGAAAGGAUGGAACACAGAGGAUAUAGAUGAUUAUUUUAAGCUCUUUAGCAUUGGACAGCCUGAUUUCAUUGAAAUUAAAGGCGUUACUUAUUGUGGAUCGUCUGCCACAUCAAAAUUGACAAUGGAGAAUGUGCCAUGGCAUGCCGAUGUGAAAGCUUUCUCAGAGGCCUUGGCUCUUAAAAGUAAAGGGGAAUAUGAAGUUGCUUGUGAGCAUGCCCACUCUUGUUGUGUCCUCUUGGCAAGAACUGAGAAGUUCAAAAUCAAUGGCCAAUGGUUCACAUGGAUAGAUUAUGAGAAGUUCCAUGAUCUGGUUGCUUCUGGAAAACCCUUCAAUAGCAAGGAUUAUGUGGCUGCCACACCUUUCUGGGCUGUUUAUGGAGCACAAGAAGGUGGAUUUGAUCCAGAUCAGUCUCGGUAUAGGAAGGAGAGACAUCAUAAAUCGAGCCGAUGAAGAACCAACCAGCCAGUCUGCCAACGGAACAUAGAUGUCUACCUGGUACCUUUAAGUUGUGUGUUAGACAGUCAUUUCAAUAUCCCUGGCAAGUGUGUUAGUCCUCUUACAAUUGACAAAGCGAGUGGGUUGGCGCAAUCAAUUUGAGCCAGACUACUGCAUGAACCAACCCUAGGCAAUAAUAUAUUUGAAGUAUGAUAUUUUCCUAGAUUGAUUCUAGUGGUGGAGAAUUCUCCCAAAGCUCUUUUUUCCAGUUCCUAAAGCGGUGGUACAAAAUAGCAGGAGCUCAUUGAUCUUUGUUUCCUAGAUUUGCCUAAGCGGCAUUAGUAAUAUGACAACUGUGGAGUGGAUGCAAUACUUUUGACGGAAAUGCCCAAAUGGAGAGUGAAGAAUAUCCCUUGCUUGUAUGUUGAGCCAUUCCUAAUCUAGGAUUGCUUCUGUCUAUUAAAUCACUGUUUAGUUGCUAGCUUAUCUUCAUAUUUGAUUCUCAUUGCCUAUUUUUCCAAACCCUAUGAUUACAAGAAAAAUGACUGAAAUGGAAACCUGAGUUCACCCAAGCAUUACCCUCUUACACUCUUGAUCCUAAUAGAUAUCAAAGUUUCGUCCUUUGUAUUUUGGUCAAUGGGAUUCGAGCAGGUUGUACACUUUUUUAUUUAUAGGUGAAAUUUUAUUUUACUUUUGUUUUUC